CUAAAAAGAUCUCACUCUUGAUAUGGCCAAGAAAACCACGGAGAUCUAUGCAAAUAACACCCGUAAUUUUACUAUUUUAGUCAAUACAUAAAAUCUAUGCUCUCAGAAGGUGUUUGAUUUUUGUGUAUGGAAGAAACUGAUUUUUGUUUUAAAUAUAUUUAUAGAGUGACGGAGGAAUAGAUGAAAUAAAUGGCAUGCAAAUUGCCAUUUAUCUGUGAUGUGCUAAAUCACGGAAGCUUUGGGUCAUUUUAUACAUUUCAACACCGAGUCAUUUAUACACCAACCCCGUGUGAAUUGCUUAAACAAAAACGACAAAACAACCCCGUGUGAAUUUUCAUAGACGACAUCUUGUGAGGAGGUUGGGUUGAACCCGUUCAAGAAAAUUUCAAAUUCACUUGGGUAUGUCACAAGAUAUGUCACAAAAUCCAGUUUUUGUCGGCGUAAUGGGCUUUCAAUGAUAUAUAACCUUCACGAGAAAUUGUUAUCCAACAAUCAGAAGUUAAACAUAUCAUACUCUGAAUCCUUUUCAACUCCAUCUUCAGCUUAUUCUUCUCGCUCUCCCAAGUUUUAACAAUAUCCAUUGCUGCUGUGUUUCUAGUGUAGUAGUUGUAAGCUGGAUUCAUAUAUUGAAAAAAACCCUCUCAGCUCUUCAUAUUCAACAAGAGCAAAAAGAAGAUUGUGUCAAAUUAUAGAUCUACUGAACAACACUCUCAUCAAUCUUCAUUCUCCUAGUCUUUCCAUCUCCAUCAAUUAUCAUAUCAGCUACAUUCCUAUAUUUUGGCUUUUUUUAAUGCAUCUCAUAUGAUGACGCUUCGUUGGAAAUGUUCAUGUGGUAGAUUCAAACACAAUUUUAUCACCACAAUAGUUACACUGAACUCGAUUCUUAUCAUCGACACCUUUUCCAAUAUGAGUAAAAUGUUUCUACAUUUUUGAAGUUUUUCUCCUUGGUUUACAAGAUUUUUCGUGAGGCUCACCUCCAGUUUCAUCACCAAAUCAAUGAUGGCUCGUUGGUUAGAUCAAUAUCAAUCAUCACCGUCAUCCAUCAUCAUCUCUUCUUCGUCAACUACUUUUGACUCCGAAUCUUCUAUAUUAUCUGUAAAACAAAAAAAAAUAUAUAUAUUAGCCAAAAAUAACAUGCAUGGAUUUAGUUCAGAUAAAAAAACAUGCAUGGGCUCAAAUAUGUAAGUUAUAACAUAAUCUAUCGGUUCCACUAAGGAAGGACACAAGAAGCCAUUAGCCAGUCUAAUUUGUUUUUACGUACAUCAUAACAGAUUAUAUAAUAUAUAUGUUUUUUUUAUUAACCCAUGGAUAACCCAUAACCCUGGGGCUUACUAAGAGGUGGCGGUCGGGGCAUUACAAGUGGUAUCAGAGCCAAACUCAGAUGAGUGUGGAGUCAAGUGGACUCACACCAUCGGGGUAACUGUCUUGGUACGCAACAAGGAU